CAGCAGCCGCCGCGGUAAUACGUAGGUGGCAAGCGUUGUCCGGAAUUAUUGGGCGUAAAGGGCUCGCAGGCGGUUUCUUAAGUCUGAUGUGAAAGCCCCCGGCUCAACCGGGGAGGGUCAUUGGAAACUGGGAAACUUGAGUGCAGAAGAGGAGAGUGGAAUUCCACGUGUAGCGGUGAAAUGCGUAGAGAUGUGGAGGAACACCAGUGGCGAAGGCGACUCUCUGGUCUGUAACUGACGCUGAGGAGCGAAAGCGUGGGGAGCGAACAGGAUUAGAUACCCCGGUAGUCCCUGUCUCUUAUAA
rnacentral:rRNA from 1 species